AUCAAAGUCCGCGGAGGAGGCUUUACGCAGAGAGGGAUUUUCUUUGUCUGGCUGAAAAGCAAAGAAGGACAAUCUCGGCUUGUUUGUGUCUCUACCCCCCGACUGCCGCUGUGUCUCAGGCCUGAGGACCUGCCAGUGGCCCUGCAGAGGAUCAAGUUUUAAAUCAUGGAAAAAUGAUGGACUAGGAAGGGCCAGGAUUCAAAUGUUGAGAGCAUCAAAACCAAACAAUCUGUGUCUACCGUCGGUAUCUGCCAUUGCUGAAUCCAGACAGAAGCCAGUUGACCCAGGAGCUUCAAACACACCUGUGGAAGACAGCUCCUUUGCAAUUUCCUGCAUUGCAGAACAGAGCAGGGAAAAGGUCAGGAGGUCAUGGGCCAGCAGAACCCAGCUUCAAAACACAAGGUUAGGUGGUUUCCCUGAUGUUUCCCCAAAUCAGGGAUUGGCGAACUGUUUCCUAUCAAGAGCCAGGUAGUAAAUAUUUUAGGCUCUGUGAGCCAUUCAGGCUAUUUGGUCUGUGCUGCAGCUACUCAAAUCUUCUGUCGUAGUUCAAAGCAGCCAUAGACCAUAUGUAAACAAAUUAUGUGUUCUGAUGAAACUGUAUAAAAAGGAGUGAGUAGAAUGUGGCCCACAGGCCAUAGUUCCCUGAUCCCUAGAGAGCUCACUAAAGGAUGCUGGGGAUGUACGAAUGCUUUCCUUCUUUCAAGAGGAACAGAAUCCUGUGUUGCACUGAUCACAAGGCUAAUAAAAUAAUCAUUUA